rnacentral:lncRNA from 1 species
AAAUGACAGUUUAAUUUCUGUCCGCAUCCAAAAAUUUCUCAUUGUGGUGGCGAUAUUUAAAAUAUUCCCAUCGGUUUUCCCGAUCGAUCCCCUAUUGCAGAGCCUACCAGUAUUUACUGUUAACUUUUUUUUCUCACUGAAUUUGGUUUUAAAUCUACCAUGAUAAACGAGUGUGGUCUUAAAUUAAGUUUUUUAUCAGAAGGUGUAUUUGUGACAAUAAAAAAACAUGUUGAAAUGUAAUGUUUAGUUUUCUCACUAAUGUAAUUUUGGUUUAAAAACUGGUUCAGUUUGGAUAAAUUUGAACAAAUAGCCAGAGUGUUGCACACAAUGGCGUUAAUUCGUGUACCAGCCUUUUUUCAUAUUGUUCUGUUAGACAACGACGAAGAUGAUUUUCUCUGUAUGCAAUAGCUAUAUUUGGUUAUAAGAACAUUUGUCAGUGUAAAGUAAAGGUUAAAGCACAGAUCCAACGUUCCUGAAAUUUGCUGAAUCUAUGGUGCAACAUUACAAUAUUGAAGAAUUUAGAAGUAGUUUAAGAUUAGGGAGACAUUUCAAGCAUUGGUAGAACAAUUGGUGGAGCAGAUUUGCAUUUUGUAGAUUUGUUUUGUGAAUGGCCUGGCUCGGUACAUAAAUUAAGAGUCAUAACAAAACUUCCCUAACAAGUCCUGAGUAAUGACGAUGGAAAUCUUAGCAGAAAUCUGAGCAAGUAUAAACCCUUGGGGUAGCGAUUGAGCGUACAUUUGCAGCAUUAGAG